rnacentral:rRNA from 1 species
GAUCAUGGCUCAGGACGAACGCUGGCGGCGUGCCUAACACAUGCAAGUCGAGCGAGGAGAUUCCUUCGGGAUGAUCCUAGCGGCGGACGGGUGAGUAACACGUGGGCAACCUGCCUCAUAGAGAGGAAUAGCCUUCCGAAAGGGAGAUUAAUACCUCAUAACAUUGCAGUUUCGCAUGGAACAGCAAUUAAAGGAGCAAUCCGCUAUGAGAUGGGCCCGCGGCGCAUUAGCUAGUUGGUGAGGUAACGGCUCACCAAGGCGACGAUGCGUAGCCGACCUGAGAGGGUGAUCGGCCACAUUGGGACUGAGACACGGCCCAGACUCCUACGGGAGGCAGCAGUGGGGAAUAUUGCACAAUGGGGGAAACCCUGAUGCCAGCAACGCCGCGUGAGUGAUGACGGCCUUCGGGUUGUAAAGCUCUGUCUUCAGGGACGAUAAUGACGGUACCUGAGGAGGAAGCCACGGCUAACUACGUGCCAGCCGCCGC